rnacentral:misc_RNA from 1 species
UUAUAUUCUCUUUGCAGGCGAAGCCAUUAACUUUCACUGCAGAGGAAAGAUCAGCAACACAGACAUCUUGAAGCAAGUCAGGGUCAGCCGUAACAGAGGCCAAGAAAAACCCGAAAGAGAAAACAAAUAGAGCCACCACAGCCUUCAUGAUUGCAGGGACCUUGUGUUUGUUUUGUCCUUCACUCCCUCUUUCUCUCUCUCUGUGUUUCGAGUUUACCGUUAGAGCAUAGAGAAAAGGGAAAGAAAGAGUGGGGCAAACUGAAAAUAAUGAAAGUGAAGAGAAGAGAAAAGAAAAGAAGGAUUCGUU